rnacentral:tRNA from 1 species
GGUGUCGCCAAGCGGUAAGGCACCGGAUUUUGAUUCCGGGAUUCGUAGGUUCAAAUCCUGCCACC